UUGGGAGAGUUCACGUAUCAUCUAUUAUGCAGAUAAUUAGAAACAUAUGAAGAAACACUACUAGAAAAGCUUCUCACGCGGUGACAUUUUUAUAAUUAAUGAAAUUAUUAUUAUUAUCUACGUCGUAGAAUCUAAGACGAUUCCUUAUAACCAACAUGGAACGACGACAACGACGGUCUUGUUGAUGACCGUCUUUGUUGACUGAAUAUUUACAAAAGCCCUAGCUACUGAAAGGCGCCCGAAAAGCUUCAAUCUUGCCUCUCGGCCUGUGUCUCGCGACUCGCCGUCCGUCGUGCGUCUCUAGUUCGCGUGCGACCAGCAGUCAUCCCUCUCUAGUUCGACGUGGUGUGGCUGGGUUUUUUUGGUGGCCUGAGUUCGGGCGCUACCAGGAGUCAUCCCUUGCCUCCGUAUUCACACAGCUCAAUACUUAGCGAGGACGAAAAGGCUGUAGAAAGUGCUUACUUUAAGGUAUAAUUGCUUCUGAAGGAGACUUUUAUUCAGUGGUUCCCAUAUCAUGAUUGGGCUUUUAUUCAAUUGUACCAGUGUUAAACCGUGUACCGUCUGUUAUAGAUAGGAUAAAAGUACUUCCUGCUUCACUUAAGCUACAGUCGUCUAUUCAUCUCCAGCGUUAGUGCAAACAAACCUUUCAUUAGUAGCAUCUUUGGAGGUAUGUAUGUCAUUCUAACACUUUUGUCGUUAAUUAUUAUAUUUUUGCCCCUCAUGUAACUAUUGUUUAGUAUUAUAUUCUACUUCAUUGAGCGAGCCAUAGUUUUCCGUUUGAGAUUCAAUACAACGAUUAAUAUGGAGAGUUUGGAUUAAUUGUUGUAUUGAAUCUUGAAUUGUCCGUUUGGACAAUUUGGGAAGACUAAUUAUUUUUACUUCAUUUUCACUUAUAAGUUAAGUAUGUUGUGUUAUUUUUGACUAAAUUUUCGGCACUGCAUCUUGCUUUGUUCUCCGGGUCCAUACAUGAUCGGGGUGAAUUGAUGUCACCGCUUUCAUGUCGUAUACUUGGAGACCAAAGCGAAAUGCUGUCGAAAUUUUGUCAAAUUACACCAAAGAUGGAUCGAAGUUGGAUGAAAAGACCAUGCAUAACUCAAGAGUACGAGAAUGAGGUUGAAGAUUUACUUCUGUCCAUGUGUUAAAUGUUUGAAUGGGCGACGACAAUCUUUGGAUGACAUUAGAACACAUCUUAUAUGUCAUGGUAUCUGUCCUAUUUAUACAAAAUUGAUAUGGCAUGGUGAGUUACCACAAAUGUCGUCAACCCCUCCGACUGGUCCAGUUGACGAAGAAGUCGGUGAUCGUAUAGAAGACAUGCUACGUGAUCUUGGACAAGAGGGUUUUAGGCAAGCACAUGCACCUUAUUAUGAAAAGUUAGAUAAUGAUUCUAAGAAACCAUAGUAUAUGGGAUGCACCAAGUACACAAGGUUAUCGGUGGUGUUAGCUUGGUGAAUUUGAAAGCAAGAUUUGGAUGGAGUGACAAAAACUUCAACGAAUUACUUUUGUUAUUGAAGAAUAUACUUCCUGUAGAUAACAAGUUACCAAAGAAUCAUUACGAGGCAAAGAUAUUAUGCCAUAUUGGUAUGGAAUACCAAAAAAUACAUGCUUGCCCUAAUGAUUGUAUUUUGUAUAGACAUGAGUUUGCUGAAUUGCGCAACUGUCCUACAUGUGGGGUGUCACACUACAAAGUGAAUUCUGACGAAUGCAGUCAAGAUGCAAGCACAUACAAAGAUCGUCCAUCAAAAGUGUGUUGGUAUCUUCCAGUCAUACCAAGGUUUAAGCGAUUGUUUGCUAAUGCAUGAGACGCAAAAAAUCUAACAUGGCAUGCUGAUGGCAGGAUCAAAAGAUGGAUUGCUCCGUCAUCCUGUUGAGUCUCCUCAAUGGAAGACAAUUGAUUAGUUGUAUUCGGAAUUUGGACAAGAUCCCCGAAGUCUAAGGGUUGGUCUCGCUUCCGAUGGAAUGAAUCCGUAUGGAAACUUGAGCUGCAACCAUAGUUUGUGGCCUGUUUUGUUGAUCAUUUACAACCUUCCUCCUUAGUUGUGCAUCCAGUGGAAGUACAUAAUGAUAUGUAUGAUGAUUGACGAUCCAAGACAGUUAGGAAAUGACAUUGAUGUCUAUCUUGCUCCCUUAAUUGAAGACCUCAGAAAAUUGUGAGUAGAAGGGAUUGAUGUGUAUGAUGGGAAUACUCAGGAUACCUUCAGGUUGCAUGCCUUGAUAUUUUGCACCAUUAAUGACUUCCCAGCAUAUGGGAAUUUGAGUGGAUAUAGUGUCAAAGGCCAUCACGCAUGUCCAAUAUGUGAGAAAGAUACAAGUUACAUCCAAUUAAAGCAUGACAAAAAGAUCGUGGAUACAAGACAUCGAAGAUUCUUGAAACCUUUUCACCCAUAUAGGCGAAUGAAGAAAGCAUUUAAUGGGACAUCUGAGAUUGACAGUUCACCAAUUCCUUUGUCAGGUCUUGACGUUUUUGAUUGGGUGAAGAAUAUCAGCAGUAUGUAUGGGAAGACACAAAAAAAGGAUGGCUCCCACAACAACAUUUGGAAGAAAAGGUCUAUCUUUUUUGAUCUGCCUUACUGGUGCGAUUUACAUGUGAGACAUUGUUUAGAUGUUAUGCAUGUUGAAAAAAAUGUCUGUGAUAGUUUGGUUGGCACGCUGCUUAACAUUAAAGGCAAGACAAAAGAUGGUUUGAAAUGUUGUCAAGAUCUAGUAGAAAUGGGCAUACGACAACAGUUGCAUCCAGUGUCAAAAGGUCUUCGAACAUAUUUGCUAUUAGAAUGUCAUACGAUGUCAAUGACUUAGAAUUUUUUUUUCAUUGUCUUAGAAAUGUAAAAGUCUCACAAGGAUACUCUUCAAACAUCAAGAGUCUUGUAUCUGUGACUGAUAUAAAAUUGGUUGGGUUGAAGUCCCAUGAUUGUCACGUUUUAAUACAACAAUUAUUGUCUGUAGCCAUUCGGGGUAUAUUGCCUGACAAAGUUAGGGUUGCAAUAACUCGAUUGUGUUUUUUCUUCAAUGCGAUCUGCAAGAAAGUAAUCGACCCCAAAUAGUUGGAUGAUUUGGAAAAUGAGACUUCCAUUAUCAUUUGUUAGUUGGAGAUGUAUUUUCUAUCAACAUUUUUUGACAUUAUGAUUCGCUUAGUUGUCCACCUUGUACGAGAAAUACGGUUGUUCGGGCCUGUAUAUCUUCGUGGAUGUAUCCGGUUGAGCGUUAUAUGAAGGUGUUAAAAAGUUAUACGAAGAAUCAAUAUUGGCCGAAAGCAAGCAUGGUUGAAAGGUACGUCGCCGAAGAAGCUAUUGAGUUUUGUUCUGAGUACAUUGAAAAUGAUGCACCUGUUGGACUUCCUAAAACCCGCCAUGAGUCUACACAGCAAGUUAGAGGCACACGAGGAUUCAAUGUUGUAAUCGUGGAUUGCCAGCAGGUCUCACAAGCGCAUCUAUAUGUACUAAGCAACACUGCUGAGGUAAUACCAUACAUAGAUGCUCACAAAGAAUAUGUCGCAGCUUGUCACCAAAACAUGAAUAUGAUGCGGGUGUUGCAGGAGCACAAUAGGAGUUUCAUUAAUUGGUUUAGAAAGACAAUAUUUGCUAAUGGUAGUUGUUCUAAGACAUUAUCAUUGUACAAUAGGAGUUGGCCCAAAUCUAAAUGUCUUCACUUGGAAAGGUUAUGAUAUCAACAAUUAUUCCUUCUACACAAAGUCAAAGGAUGAUAAAAGUAUCGUACAAAACAAUGGAGUGUCAAUUGAUGCUCAUUCGGACCACUUUAGUAGUGCAUUAGAUAACCAUCAUAUUUGAGCGUCCAUGUCGUAUUAUGGAGUCAUUAAGGAUAUCUGGGAGCUUGAUUAUGGUGAAUUUAGAGUGCCCGUUUUCAGGUGCGACUGGGUUAAUGGAAAUGCUGGUGUACGACAAGACAAAAUGGGGUUUACUUUGGUUGACCUUCAAUGGGUUUACAUGUGAAAGUAUUAUUUAAAUGUUAGCUUAAAUAAUACUUUCACAUGUAAGUAUUAUUUAUAAUGUUAUCUUAAAUAAUGCUUUCAACAAUGCUGGUAUUACAACAUUGAAUCCCCGUGUGCCUCUACCUUGCCGUGUAGACUCAUGGCGGGUUUCAAGAAGUCCAACAGGUGCAACAUUUUCAAUGUACUUAGAACAAAACUCAAUAGCUUCUUCGGCGACGUACCUUUCAACAAUGCUUGUUUCUGGCCGAUAUUGAUUCUUCGUAUAACUUUUCAACACCUUCAUGUAACGCUUAACUGGAUACAUCCAUCGAAGAUAUACAGGCCUGCACAAUCGCAUUUCUCGUACAAGGUCGACAACUAAGUGAAUCAUAAUGUCAAAAAAUGUUGGUGGAAAAUACAUCUCCAAUUGACAAAUGAUAAUAGAAGCCUUAUUUUCCUAAUCAUCCAACUGUUUGGGGUCGAUUACUUUCUUGCAGAUCGCAUUGAAGAAAAAACAUAAUCGAGUUAUUGUAACCCUAACUUUGUCAGGCAAUAUACUUCGAAUGGCUACAGGUAAUAAUUGUUGCAUUAAAACGUGACAAUCAUGGAACUUCAACCCAACCAAUUUUAUAUCAGUCACAGAUACAAGACUCUUGAUAUUUGAAGAGUAUUCUUGUGGGACUUUUACAUUUCUAAGACAAUGACAAAAAUUUCUUUUCUAAGCAUUGAUAUCGUAUGACAUGCUAAGGGCAAAUACGUUCGAAGACCUUUUGACACUGGAUGCAACUGUUGUCGUAUGCCCAUUUCUACUAAAUCUUGACGACAUUUCAAACCAUCUUUUAUCUUGCCUUUAAUGUUAAGCAGCGUGCCAACCAAACUAUCACAUACAUUUUUUCUCAACAUGCAUAACAUCUAAACAAUGUCUUACAUGUAAAUCGCACCGGUAAGGCAGAUCAAAGAAGAUAGACUUUUUCUUCCAAAUGUUGUUGUGGGAGCCAUCCUUUUUUGUAUUUUCCCAUACAUACUGCUGAUGUUCUUCACCCGAUCAAAAACUUCAAGACCUGACAAAGGAAUCGGUGCACUGUCAAUCUUAGAUGUCCCAUUAAAUGUUUUCUUCAUUUGGCUAUAUGGGUGAAAAGGUUUCAAAAAUCUUCGAUGUCUUGUAUACACGGUCUUCUUGCCAUGCUUUAAUUGGAUGUAACUUGUAUCUUUCUCACAUAUCAGACAUGCGUGGUGGCCUUUGACACUAUAUCCACUCAAAUUCCCAUGUGCUGGGAAGUCAUUAAUGGUGCAAAAUAUCAAGGCACGCAACCUGAAGGUAUCCUGAGCAUUCCCAUCAUACACAUCAACCCCUUCUACCCACAAUUUUCUGAGGUCUUUAAUCAAGGGAGCAAGAUAGACAUCAAUGUCAUUUCCUGGUUGUUUUGGAUCGACAAUCAUCAUACAUAUCAUUAUGUACUUCCGCUUGAUGCACAACCAAGGAGGAAGGUUGUAAAUGAUCAACAAAAUAGGCCACGAACUAUGAUUGCAACUCAAGUUUCCAUACGGAUUCAUUCCAUCGGAAGCGAGACCAAUCCUUAGGUUUCGAUGAUCUUGUCCAAAUUCCGAAUAUAAUUGAUCAAUUGUCUUCCAUUGAGGAGAAUCAGCAGGAUGACGGAGCAAUCCAUCUUUGAUGCUGUCAUCAGCAUGCCAUGUUAGGUUUUUUGCGUCUUCUACAUUAGCAAACAAUCACUUAAACUUUGGUAUGACUGGAAGAUACCAACACACUUUUGAUGGACGAUCUUUGUAUGCGCUUGCAUCUUGACUGCAUUCGUCAGAAUUCACUUUGUAGUGUGACACCCCACAUGUAGGGCAGUUGCACAAUUCAGCAAACUCAUGUCUAUAAAUGCAGGAAGAUAAGGGCUCAUUAAGGCAUUAUCCAUUAGUAUCAAGGCUUCUUGCAUCACCUAACGGCUUGCCAUAAUGUCGAACUGCACUUAACAAAUUAUAGAGAUGGCCAGUCUCAUGACUCAACAAUGGAUUUAUGGUAUAUAGCAAACAUUAAGGAUGCAAGACACAUGUAAGCAUUAUUAGUAAGUCUCAUUUGAUCGUACAUAAGAAAAUACAAAAUAAUAAUUUAAGCAUGCUAAACAAAAGUACUAAUAAGUAAUCACACAAAGUGCACAUCAGAAUAUGAUAAGCACAUAACACACUGCCGAAAGGUUCGACUUGCUCUGAUACCACUAAAUGUGACACCCUUUACCCUAUACAUAUAUGUACCAAUAAUAAAAGAAAUAAGAAAUCAAACUUAAUUAAAAGUUUUUAAAACAAAUUUAAAUACAAGCCUUUCAAGAGGGUAGAAGGCUCACAUUCACAUUUCUAACACCAUAAUAAAACUUGUUCAAAUAAUUAAUAUAUUAUUUCGGCUCAAAACAAGGUUGUCCAAGACCUCGUACAAUUAAUAUAGCAACUUAUACCCUAAUGUCACAUCCUAUCCGAGCAUUAUUUUCCGACGUCCUUCAACACAAGGUUCCUUAAAGAAAUUCACCUAGUCAUCUGCUCUCCCGAAU